rnacentral:rRNA from 1 species
ACAAGCGGUGGAGCAUGUGGUUUAAUUCGACGCAACGCGCAGAACUUACCUGGGCUUGACAUCCCGAUCGUACUUUCUGGAAACAGUUAGGUCAGUUCGGCUGGAUCGGUGACAGGUGCUGCAUGGCUGUCGUCAGCUCGUGUCGUGAGAUGUUGGGUUAAGUCCCGCAACGAGCGCAACCCUUGUCCUUAGUUGCCAGCAGUUCGGCUGGGCACUCUAAAGGGACUGCCGGUGUUAAACCGGAGGAAGGUGGGGAUGACGUCAAGUCCUCAUGGCCUUUAUGACCAGGGCUACACACGUACUACAAUGGCCGAUACAAAGGGCAGCGACAUCGCGAGGUGAAGCCAAUCCCAUAAAAUCGGUCUCAGUCCGGAUUGGAGUCUGCAACUCGACUCCAUGAAGUUGGAAUCGCUAGUAAUCGCGGAUCAGCAUGCCACGGUGAAUACGUUCCCGGGCCUU